rnacentral:ncRNA from 1 species
CUUUUUAUUGGCUCAUAGCAGGCUUAUACAUGCAAAUAUCCUUGCCCCAGUGAGAAUGCCCUCUAUAUCAACAUUAGAUCAAAAGGUGCUGACAUCAAGCUCGCCCAUCCAUGCAGCUCAUGACGUCUUGCUAAACCACACCCCCACGGGAUACAGCAGUAAUUAAAAUUAAGAUUUAUUAACGAAAGUUUGACUUAGCCAUGCUAUAUUUUAAGGGUUGGUAAAUCUCGUGCCAGCCACCGCGGUCACACGAUUGACCCUAGUCAACAAAACACGGCGUAAAGUGUGAUUAAGAAGUAACAAUAAAUAAGACUAAAUAUAUGCUAAACUGUAGAAAGCCCUGGCAUAACUUAAAAUAAAUAACGAAAGUAGUCUUAACACAUCUGAACUCACGAUAGCUAAGACCCAAACUGGGAUUAGAUACCCCACUAUGCUUAGCCCUAAACGCAAACUAUCAACAAACAAGAUAGUUCGCCAGAGAACUACUAGCAACAGCCUAAAACUCAAAGGACUUGGCGGUGCUUUACACCCCUCUAGAGGAGCCUGUUCUAUAAUCGAUAAACCCCGUUAAACCUCACCACCCCUAGCAAUAUCAGCCUAUAUACCGCCAUCUUCAGCAAACCCUAUCAAGGCACCACAGUAAGCACAAACACCAUACAUAAAAACGUUAGGUCAAGGUGUAGCCUAUGAGGUGGAAAGAAAUGGGCUACAUUUUCUAAUCCAUAGAACAACUCACUACGGCUUCUAUGAAAUCUAGAAGCAUAAGGCGGAUUUAGUAGUAAGCCAGGAAUAGAGCGCCCAGCUGAAUCGGGCAAUAAAGC